ACCAGACUCCUACGGGAGGCAGCAGUGGGGGAUAUUGCACAAUGGGGGGAACCCUGAUGCAGCGACGCCGCGUGGGUGAAGAAGCGCCUCGGCGCGUAAAGCCCUGUCAGCAGGGAAGAAAAUGACGGUACCUGAAGAAGAAGCCCCGGCUAACUACGUGCCAGCAGCCGCGGUAAUACGUAGGGGGCAAGCGUUAUCCGGAUUUACUGGGUGUAAAGGGGGCGCAGACGGCGAUGCAAGCCAGGAGUGAAAGCCCGGGGCCCAACCCCGGGACUGCUCUUGGAACUGCGUGGCUGGAGUGCAGGAGGGGCAGGCGGAAUUCCUGGUGUAGCGGUGAAAUGCGUAGAUAUCAGGAGGAACACCGGUGGCGAAGGCGGCCUGCUGGACUGCAGCUGACGUUGAGGCCCGAAAGCGUGGGGAGCAAACAGGAUUAGAUACCCGUGUA
rnacentral:rRNA from 1 species